GAACACAAUCGCCAAGAAAAUGCAAAACAUAUACUGGGAUGUAGGCGAAACAUCAUGCAAAGGGGGUCAAGGUCUAAAUGUGUACUUGGCUUUAGGAAUAAUGAGCAACGUGACUUGCAACUGUUCCUUCAAUGACGGCACAAUUUGCCACGUCACAAAUAUGUAUGAAGAUCCGACAGUUAUUUUUGUUUCUUCAUGUAUCCUUCUUUCAUGUACAUCAAUUUGCAAUUUAGCUAUUCUUCGUGUUGCAGCCAGCUGAGGGGACUUAAUUUGACAGGGAUUUUUCCUAAGGAAUUUGGCAGCCUCACUUACCUAACAGAAAUGUAAGUUAGACUUGACCACAUGAUAUCUUCUUAUAGGGAAGGUAAUUAGGCCAAAGAAAUUGAAUGUGACUAAUGGGCCAUGGUUCUUUAUUUUCGUGGGGUAAUCAAAGAAAAGCAUGCUAUGAGUUGGGUGAAGACUAUUGUGGUUCCACCUCUAUCAUAUUAUUGACAAUGUUCUUCUCAAGAAUGUAUAUAUCUUAGAAAUGUAGCAACUGUGGGAAACUAAAGCAAACUAUUGCUUGAGAAUUGUAAAAGUACUAAAGUGAUUGUUCUUUGGAAGCAGAGACCUCUCUCGUAACUACAUUAAUGGAUCGCUCCCCACAAGUCUUACUCAGAUACCACUUACCAUUUUGUCAGCAGUCGGAAAUCGCAUAAGUGGUAUUCCCAAGGAAAUUGGCAACAUUAGCACAUUGGAAGAGCUGUAAGACUUACUAUAAAUCAUAUACCUUUGUAUUGAGAAUGUGUUAGACUUGACGGUGAUAAAUUUAUGGUUAUGCUAGUGGGUUAGAGGACAAUUUGCUUGAAGGCACUCUUGAGCCAAACAUUGGAAACUUGAGCCACUUAAGGAGACUCCUUUUGUCUGCUAAUACUUUCACGGGAACGAUACCUGAAUCCUUUAGCAAUCUAAAGAACUUAGAAGAUUUUCGUAUAGAUGGAAGCCCAUUAUCAGGCAAGAUACCUGAUUUUAUUGGGAAUUGGACCAAAAUUACAAGAUUGUGCGUAUCUCAAUCCUUCUCAAUUAAGGCAAAAAAUUAUUUAUAUGAUUUAUGAGAUACUCAAAAGUUGUUCUUAUAUUAUGACAUUAAGUUUUCAGGGACAUGCAAGGCACAUCCAUGGAAGGACCUAUCCCUUCAAGCAUAUCUUUGUUGACAAACUUGACAGAGUUGUAAGCAUU